GAAAGCAGCGGCUUUAACUAUGGUUGCCAUAAAUGCUGUUACCACAGUGGGAGCGCCAUCGUAAACAUCGGGCGCCCAGAAAUGAAAAGGCGCUGCUGAAACUUUAAAGAGCAAUCCGACCAGCAUCAUUAUUAUUCCU
rnacentral:misc_RNA from 1 species